rnacentral:rRNA from 1 species
AUUGAACGCUGGCGGCAUGCUUUACACAUGCAAGUCGAACGGCAGCGCGGGCUUCGGCCUGGCGGCGAGUGGCGAACGGGUGAGUAAUACAUCGGAACGUGCCCAGUAGUGGGGGAUAGCUCGGCGAAAGCCGGAUUAAUACCGCAUACGACCUGAGGGUGAAAGCGGGGGAUCUUCGGACCUCGCGCUAUUGGAGCGGCCGAUGGCAGAUUAGCUAGUUGGUGGGGUAAAGGCCUACCAAGGCGACGAUCUGUAGCUGGUCUGAGAGGACGACCAGCCACACUGGAACUGAGACACGGUCCAGACUCCGCCGGGAGGCAGAAGUGGGGAAGCGUCCGCAAUGGGCGAAAGCCUGACGGAGCAACGCCGCGGGAGUGAUGAAGGUCUUCGGAUCGUAAAACUCUGUUAUUAGGGAAGAACAAAUGUGUAAGUAACUAUGCACGUCUUGACGGUACCUAAUCAGAAAGCCACGGCUAACUACGUG